rnacentral:rRNA from 1 species
AUUGAACGCUGGCGGCAGGCCUAACACAUGCAAGUCGAGCGGAUGAAGGGAGCUUGCUCCUGGAUUCAGCGGCGGACGGGUGAGUAAUGCCUAGGAAUCUGCCUGGUAGUGGGGGAUAACGUCCGGAAACGGGCGCUAAUACCGCAUACGUCCUGAGGGAGAAAGUGGGGGAUCUUCGGACCUCACGCUAUCAGAUGAGCCUAGGUCGGAUUAGCUAGUUGGUGGGGUAAAGGCCUACCAAGGCGACGAUCCGUAACUGGUCUGAGAGGGUGAUCAGUCAAACUGGAACUGAGACACGGUCCAGACUCCUACGGGAGGCAGCAGUGGGGAAUCUUGGACAAUGGGCGAAAGCCUGAUCCAGCCAUGCCGCGUGUGUGAAGAAGGUCUUCGGAUUGUAAAGCUCUUUAAGUUGGGAGGAAGGGCAGUAAGUGAAUACAUUGCUGUUUUGACGUUACCAACAGAAUAAGCACCGGCUAACUUCGUG